rnacentral:pre_miRNA from 1 species
GGAGCACCUAGCAACAACCGGAAAGAGGAGCACAGGAUAAAGUUGACUGUUGAUCCCUAGUUGAUGGCCUAUAUUCCACUAGUGGUAACAGGCUUAGGUAAGUA